ensembl:antisense Gm13964 uncharacterized LOC110283946
GACUACUCUACCUCCUAUGCUCUUGUAUUCUACCAUCCACCUACGUGUCAACUUCUUGAGGUCAUGUUUCUUCUCUCAUUCUCUUAUGUACCCCUAGAGCAUAUACUGCUGACUUAAGGAAGAGUUUUCCAAUGUCCUCAGUCCUGAGAAGUUUCUAGUUACUUUGCUUGGGAGCACUGAACUCACUUAGUAAAAGGAAAAGGGAGGGGUGGUGACUGAGUAGUGUCCAUGAAAGGACUGUUAUAUGCGGAGCUGACACACCCUUAUGAAGAGCAAUCGGUCUUCAACAAGCCCAUAGCUGAACGCACAAAAAAAAAAAAGUUGAAAAUGGGCAUAGAAAUGCCUUGAAUAACAAAAAGAACCUUGACAUAGCACCUGCUAUGAUUUGGACAAGAAAUCCAUCCACCCGGCCCUGGUUCUCUUAUUGAAUCCUUGGUUUCCCUGUGGCAGCAUUAGGAAGGGCCUAGAAGCUUUGAAGAUGAGGGCUAGGUGGAGGCUGCAGGUAAUGAGGUUGCUAAUGAGCUACGACUAGGUGAUGCUGUUGGAAUCCAAGAUUUGAGUCUGAGGUAAAAAGAACAGUUAAUGUGAAUACUUAGCCACAGCUCACCAAUCUAUAGACGUUCAUCUGAGACUUAUAAAGCAAUCCACACGUGAUGAAGACUGAGAGUGGAGGGGAAAACACAUAAUAAAUUUUGACCUUAAGAAUAAUUAUUUGCUUUAAAAAAUUAAUCGAAAUAAAUGGUUCAAAG